GACGUAGGGCGCGAGCGUUGUCCGGAUUUAUUGGGCGUAAAGAGCUCGUAGGCGGCUUGUCGCGUCGACUGUGAAAACCCGCGGCUCAACUGUGGGCUUGCAGUCGAUACGGGCAGGCUGGAGUUCGGUAGGGAGACUGGAAUUCCUGGUGUAGCGGUGAAAUGCGUAGAGAUCAUGAGGAAGACCAGUGGCGAAGGCGGGUCUCUGGACAGUUCCUGACACUGAGACACGAAGGCCAGGGAGCAAACGGG
rnacentral:rRNA from 1 species